rnacentral:lncRNA from 1 species
AACCUGCCGGCUCCCAUCCCACAACGUAGAGCUACUUCCGGUGGGGCUCCGUCACUCAAAUGGAGAAGAACCAGCACCAACAUGGGAGGCUUCCCAUGUUACAUAAGGAUCAACAGGAGAAGCCGGGCAGCAGAGGCUCGUGUGAUAAGAGAGGCAGGAAGCAAGAGCUUCCAUGGGAAUGGCGUGGUUUCAUCUCCUGGAUGCAGUCAUGGCAGCUAAGACAGAAUCAUCAUUCUCAGUUGAAUAGCAUCAAAAGACCAGACCAAACACCUUUCCAGUCUAAUCUUUCUGCACAGUGGCCAACUAUAAGUUGAUGUCAGUGAGAAGGUUGAACAAAGCAACAACCUCUCAGGUUCCUGAAGUAAUGGAGUCUACAGGCAUAUUGCCUCCGGUGAAAAUAAUAUGUAUCCAUCUGGACAAGAUGCCGUGCAUUACUUUAUUUCUCAUGAAGCUUGCUAAAAUGACCUUGUGCUAAUCAAAGUCUUUUAACUUGCAUUGACAAUGCAUGAUACCAUGUGUAUUCUACUACUGGUCUCCCCCCCCCCCCCAAAAUAAAUAAAUAAAUAAAUAAAUAAAUAAAUAAAUAGCAAAUCUGUGCAAUUCUGCUACUGAACCACGGUGUGAUAGUGAAGGUGUUCAACUGGGCAUGUAUGCAUUCUCAACUGUAGUGGAAUAGUAGGUUGGUGUGAUAAAGUCCUUUAUCCACCCCACAAAUUUGUAGCUUUGAAAAAAUAGGAAGGAAAA